AUGGCGGCGGUGGCAGCUGGCUCGGCCCGGAGAUGGUCUGCGGGCAGGUGUUCGACGUGGGGCCGUGCUACACCAACCUCUUGUACAUUGGUGAGGGCGCCUAUGGCACGGUGUGCUCUGCUUAUGAUAAUGUCAACAAAGUUCUAGUAGCUAUCAAGAAAAUCAGUCCUUUUGAGCACCAGACCUACUGCCAGAGAACCCUGAGGCAGAUAAAAAUCCUACCGCGCUUCAGACACGAGAACAUCAUUGGAAUCAAUGAUAUUAUUCGAGCGCCAACCAUCGAGCAAAUGAAAGAUGUAUAUAUAGUACAGGACCUCAUGGAAACAGAUCUCUACAAGCUCUUGAAGACACAACACCUCAGCAAUGACCAUAUCUGCUAUUUUCUUUACCAGAUCCUCAGAGGGUUAAAAUAUAUCCAUUCAGCUAACGUACUGCACUGUGACCUCAAACUUUCCAACCUGCUGCUCAACAACACCUGUGAUCUCAAGAACUGUGAUUUUGGCUUGACCCGCGUUGCAGAUCCAGACCAUGAUCACACAGGAUUCCUGACAGAGUAUGUAGCCACACAUUGGUACAGGGCUCCAGAAAUUAUGUUGAAUUCCAAGGGCUAUACCAAGUCCAUUGAUAUUUGGUCUGUAGGCUGCAUUCUGGCAGAGAUGCUCUCCAACAGGUCCAUCUCUCCAGGGAAGCAUUACCUUGACCAGCUGAACCACAUUCUGGGUAUUCUUGGAUCCCCAUCACAGGAAGACCUGAACUGCAUAAUCAACCUAAAAGCUAGAAACUAUUUGCUUUCUCUCCCACACAAAAAUAAGGUGCCAUGGAACAGGCUGUUCCCAAAUGCCGAUUCCAAAGCUCUGGAUUUACUGGACAAAAUGUUGACCUUCAACCCUCACAAGAGGAUUGAAGUAGAACAGGCGCUAGCCCACCCGUAUCUGGAGCAGUAUUAUGACCCAAGUGAUGAGCCCAUUGCUGGAGCACCAUUCAAGUUUGACAUGGAAUUGGAUGACUUGCCUAAGGAGAAUCUCAAAGAACUAAUUUUUGAAGAGACUGCUAAAUUCCAGCCUGGAUAUAGAUCUUAAAUUUGUCAGAGCAG